GAUGAACGCUGGCGGCGUGCCUAAUACAUGCAAGUCGAGCGAACAGACGAAGAUCUUGGUCCUCUUACGUUACCGACGGACGGGUGAGUAACACGUAGAUUACCUUUCUAUAAGACUUGGGUAAGUUCGGGAAACCGUAGUAAAGACCGGGAACGAUAUUGGACCGGAGGGUUCUAGAGUGAAAUACGGUUUUUCUGUCAACUCUAGAUCGAUCCGCUCGGCAUUAGGUUGUUGGUAAGGUAACGGGUUGACAAGGAAACGAUUGGUAGCCGACCUGAGAGGAUGAUAGCCGACACUGGAACUGAGCCACGGACAAGACUACUACGAGACGCAGCAGUCGCGUAUCGUCCGCAGUGGGCGAGAGCAUGACGGAGCAACGCAGAGUGAGUUAUAACGGUCUUCCGAUAGUAAUACUCUGUUAUUAGGGAAGAACCAAUGUGUAAGUAACUAUGCACGUCUUGACGGUACCUAAUGAGAAAGCAACGGCUAACUACGUG
rnacentral:rRNA from 1 species